ACCUAGUGUGUGCGUGUGUGAGGUCGACCAGGAGAAAGCUCAGGGAGCUCAAACCCUAACUUCCACAACUUGAUCAAAUUGAAGCCCAAAUCAAGAGCCAAAUCACUGCAUGAACACAAAUUCGUGAUCACCUAAUCAUGGGGAUUACAAGUUUGACGCGUCACAAGCUAGGUGGAAGCUUGGAGUGAAAGCGGGUCAAACAAGGCAAGCAUGGAAGAAAGGCGUAGCUCGGAUGCAAGGUACUUGUGGAAGCCGGAAGACGAUCAAGCUCAACGAAGAACCGAACACGAUACAGUCACAUGCUUCCGCACUUCGCCACGUUGUAAAUUUUAAACAACGAACUUCGAACACGUUAUGUAGAAUAAUUUAUAAUUUGUAAAAGUUUUAAAUAAACCCGCAUUU